CACUGAGCUGCAUGCCCAACCCCUUGGAACCUGUUCAUUUAAAAAGGAGAAUGCCUGCCAGGAGCCUUGUUGGGUAGACUGCGAUAAACACUAAAACAGUUCUUAGGGCCUCAACAAAGUUACUCUCUUCCUCUUCCUUCUCUGCCCCACUCAAUCCCACACCUGCUUGGGGACAGCUGUCACACCUCUUAUCUACUGAGGCAAGCUCCUCCAGGCUCCUUAGGUUCUCGGGUCAAAUACAAAGGGCUCUCUACUGACCCUCGCCUGGGCUGGCACCCGCUUGCCCUAGGGAGGAAAGGCACAGCUGGGACCCAAGGCCCCAGCAUGCCCCGCCGGACGCGCCCCACCCUUGGCCCUGGGCUCCCUGGGGAAGGGAGAAGGGUGUCGCAGGUGUGGGCUGCAGCCUAUGGGGGAAGACUUACUAUCUGAGAACAACAGCCUGGCCAGAGCUGCGGCCGGGACACCCCGCGGGGGAGUCACCAGCUGGGAGACGGGGCCCUCUGGAAAGGGUAAAGGGGAGUAGGCGUCUGGCCUCAGCGGGGAGAUGGGGGGGAGGCGGGCAGGCCCAGAGGGGGCGCCCUCUGCGUUCCGUCAGGCUUGAAAUCCAGAAGGGUGCAGGGAGUGUCUCAGAAGAGCGGGGCAGGGGAGCAGGUGAGACAGCGCCCACCAGAAGCUCGGCUCGUGCUCCCCCUGGGCGGGGGCACCUAGCUGCGCUCCCGCCUGUCGCUGGCGAGGGGAGGGGCGGGAGGAGGCGGGGCUUCGCGGCCGCAGUGCCCGCCCCGCCCGGCCGCGUCACGCGGCUGGAAUGAGGAGAAUCUGAGUGCGGAGGGGUCUGGCCCGCUUUCCCCGUCCCAGGCUGUGCCGCCGCAUUCCCGGGAUGCCCGCAGGCGCCCCCGCAGCCACCGCCCGGCGGCGGAAGGAGAGGGUGUCACCGCCGCCGGUCGGGCCUUAGGGCCGCCGCAGCCACGGCAGCCCCACUGACUUGCCCCGCCUCGCUGGACGGAAGCACUGUUCGCAUCCCAGGCACGCUCAACUAGGCACCUCGUGGGGGCUCAAUAACCCUCUCGUGAGCGCCUGCAUGAAUGAAUGAAUCGCAGAGCCCAGGAGUGUGAGCGGGAGGCUGGAGCACGCUAGAGCUGAAUAAAGCCAGCCAGCCAUUCA